rnacentral:lncRNA from 1 species
GGAGCCGGACCUCAUCCCCGACUUCGACUGAAGGAAGACUUCAUCCGGACUCCUACGAGAGUCGGACUCCGAGCUCCUCUCAGACGGGUAACUAGCCACCUCUCUCCGCCAGACACUCCAGCUGGACUUCGGCCGACAGGCCUGGACCCCCUGGCGGGCCGUAGUAACGGCCACGACUCUGCUCCACUUUCUGCAAUGGAUUCUGCGUGGCUCCAUCACUCCCUGGCGGGCCGCAGUAACGGCCAUGACUCUGCUCCACUUCCUGCGACGGAUUUCGUGCGGCUCCAUCACUCCCUGGC